GUCGUCUUCGCGCCGGCGCGCUGCGUGGAGCGGAACUAUGACAGAGACCCUGCGAUUCCUGGGAGCUGGCUGAUGACGUCAGUGUCUAACCUCCAUGGCGCGGCAACAGGGUACUAGCGGCCGCCGACGGCAAGGUUCGGGGCGCGUUGUCUGGGGCGCGGGUGCUUUGUCCUAGGGCGUGGAAUGCUUGAGUCCCCGCAGUUGGAAAGGGAACGUGUUGCCCUGAUUCUUCACUAUUCCUCUUCCCCAUGAACAGCAAUUGACUCCCAAAACUAGUUUUAGUCCUAACCUUUUUAAAUUGUUGUUUUCAUAUUACAGCUCUUAAGUCCAAAAGCUUGCGGACCUAACAGCUAAUGUAGUGCCAGUACUGUUAAAACCGAAAGCCAUACAAUUAAAAUAUUGUGAGGUGCAGCAUUAUUUCAUGAAUCACUAAGUAAGAAUAAGUGCUUCAAUUAAAUCUUGAUUCGAUAUUUAUUAUGGUAAGAAGUGUCACAGUUUUCAGAGUGAAACUCCCAAGAAUUGUUGAGAUAUAGCUCUUCAUGUAAUGGUCCUUUCUAUAAAUUAGAUACUGUUUUCUGGUUUAAGAGUAGGUAUUUUCAGGGAAGUGCUUUAGGGCAUAAGAUUAAAGCAAGCUUGGACACUCGUGCCUCCAGCAAUGAAUUUAGAAGAGCCCUGUGAUUCCACUUUAUUUUAUGUUAUUUGGUUACAAUAGCAAUUUAGCAAAGAUAAGACCUUUUUAAGAAUGAUGGUGUAGCAGUUGUUAUUGUUUCUUUGUAAGUUUCCAAACCAUCUCUUAUAAAAAUUUUUUUCUUGGUACUGGGGUUUGAACCCAGGAGCACUUUACCUCUGAGCUACAUUCCCAGUCCUUUUUAUUUUUAAUUUUUUUCUUAGUUGUUGAUAGAUCUUUAUUUUGUUUAUUUAUACAUGGUGCUGAGAAUCGAACCCAGUCCCCCCACACAUGCCAAGCGAGUGCACUACCGCUGAGCCACAGUCCCAGGCCUUUAUUUUUUUAUUUUGAGACAGUGUCACAAAUUGUUGAGCAUUUCACUAAGUGUUGAGACUGGCCUGAAACUUUUGAUCCUCCUGCCUGGAAUCAGUGGGAUUAUAGGCAGGCACUACUACAGCUGGCCCAAAUCAUAUUAAUUUUUUUUUAACUUUUUUGGACAAAGGAUCUUCACUGUGUAUUCAUUCCUCCUUAUUUUCUCAUUGUUCUUGCUCUUGACUUUUUUAGCAUCAAAUGAAACCAAGAAAGUUAACAAUGGCAACUCAACAACAGAAGACUCUCCUCUUGUCAAGAAAGCUCGAACAUGUGAGAGAAAAGGAGUGAAAAAGGAUCAUGCAGCUGGAGAAGAAGCUAAGAACAGGACAGAAGACAGGCAAGGUAGUGGGCCAAGGAGGACAUGUGCCAGCUAGAUAGUCUGUG
rnacentral:lncRNA from 1 species